UACGUAGGGUGCGAGCGUUGUCCGGAAUUAUUGGGCGUAAAGGGCUCGUAGGCGGUUUGUCGCAUCGGGAGUGAAAACACCGGGCUUAACUCGGUGCUUGCUUUCGAUACGGGCAGACUAGAGGCAUGCAGGGGAGAACGGAAUUCCUGGUGUAGCGGUGAAAUGCGCAGAUAUCAGGAGGAACACCGGUGGCGAAGGCGGUUCUCUGGGCAUGUCCUGACGCUGAGGAGCGAAAGUGUGGGGAGCGAACAGG
rnacentral:rRNA from 1 species